UAUUAACAGUAUAUUUUAGAGAAGGUAAUGUCAACUGUCACUAGAAUGAUGUGUUCCGUAUUAACAGUAUAUUUCAGAGAAGGUAAUGUCAACAGUCACUAGAAUGAUGUGUUCUGUAUUAACUGUAUAUUGUAUAGAAGGUAAUGUCAACAGUCACUAGAAUGAUUUGUUCUGUAUUAACAGUAUAUUUUAGAGAAGGUAAUGUCAACAGUCACUAGAAUGAUUUGUUCUGUAUUAACAGUAUAUUUUAUGGAAGGUAAUGUCAACACUCACUAGAAUGAUGUUUUCCGUAUUAACAGUAUGUUUUAUAGAAGGUAAUGUCAACAGUCACUAGAAUGAUUUGUUCUGUAUUAACAGUAUAUUUUAGAGAAGGUAAUGUCAACAGUCACUAGAAUGAUGUGUUCCGUAUUAACAGUAUAUUUUAUAUCUUUACUGGUAUAUUAUAAGUUUUCAAAUGUCAUCAAAUAAUUUUUAUUUUCUUUCGUACA